CUUUCCAUGUCCAUGCUACCUUGUCUCUUCAUGUCCUUGUUCCCUGCCUCGCUUAUGGUCGUCUUUGCUAGUCCAUGUCUCCUGCCUGUUCCCGCCUGCUCUCUGAGCAGGAUGUAGAGGGCGGAGUCCUGGUUGAGUGACAGCUGCAGCCACACAGGGUGUGUGAGCAGCAGACGGUCCAGGACACUGAACGCCCUCUGAGAGCUGCGAUGGGAACCGCCCGUCUCCUGCAUCUGAAACACAUCCACAAGAUUGGCUUGCUGCUGGAUGUCACACUGUGUGGGCUGCCGACGAACGCUUGUGAGCGUAGCAGCAGAUGGUUGCCAUAGAAACCCGGGCCUACACAUCCUACCAGGCAUUCCCACUCAGUGAAACACCCUUUCUCUGACAGGUUGGAUACAGUAUCUAAAAAAGGUGACCAGGGUGUAGAGGUGUUUUUAUUAAUAGGAUUUUCUUAUUUAUUAAAAAUAAAU